rnacentral:rRNA from 1 species
UGUGCCAGCCGCCGCGGUAAUACAGAGGGUGCGAGCGUUAAUCGGAAUUACUGGGCGUAAAGCGAGUGUAGGUGGCUCAUUAAGUCACAUGUGAAAUCCCCGGGCUUAACCUGGGGACUGCAUGUGAUACUGGUGGUGCUAGAAUGUGUGAGAGGGAAGUAGAAUUCCAGGUGUAGCGGUGAAAUGCGUAGAGAUCUGGAGGAAUACCGAUGGCGAAGGCAGCUUCCUGGCAUAAUAUUGACACUGAGAUUCGAAAGCGUGGGUAGCAAACAGGAUUAGAUACCCUGGUAGUCCACGCCGUAAACGAUGUCUACUAGCCGUUGGGGUCCUUGAGACUUUAGUGGCGCAGUUAACGCGAUAAGUAGACCGCCUGGGGAGUACGGCCGCAAGGUUAAAACUCAAAUGAAUUGACGGGGGCCCGCACAAGCGGUGGAGCAUGUGGUUUAAUUCGAUGCAACGCGAAGAACCUUACCUGGUCUUGACAUUGUGAGAAUCCUGCAGAGAUGCGGGAGUGCCUUCGGGAAUUCACAUACAGGUGCUGCAUGGCUGUCGUCAGCUCGUGUCGUGAGAUGUUGGGUUAAGUCCCGCAACGAGCGCAACCCUUUUCCUUAUUCGCCAGCGGGUUAAGCCGGGAACUUUAAGGAUACUGCCAGUGACAAACUGGAGGAAGGCGGGGACGACGUCAAGUCAUCAUGGCCCUUACGACCAGGGCUACACACGUGCUACAUGGUAGGUACAGAGGGUUGCUACACAGCGAUGUGAUGCUAAUCUCAAAAAGCCUAUCGUAGUUCCGGAUUGGGAGUCUGCAACU